UUGCCAGACUCCUACGGGAGGCAGCAGUGGGGGAUAUUGCACAAUGGGGGGAACCCUGAUGCAGCGACGCCGCGUGGGUGAAGGAGCGUUUCGGCGCAUAAAUCCCUAUCGGCAGGGAAGAAGGAGGAAGGUACCUGACUAAGAAGCCCCGGCUAACUACGUGCCAGCAGCCGCGGUAAUACGUAGGGGGCAAGCGUUAUCCGGAUUUACUGGGUGUAAAGGGAGCGUAGGUGGCGUGCCAAGUCAGGAGUGAAAACCCAGGGCCCAACCCUGGGACUGCUCUUGAAACUGGCAGGCUUGAGUGCUGGAGAGGUAAGCGGAAUUCCUAGUGUAGCGGUGAAAUGCGUAGAUAUUAGGAGGAACACCAGUGGCGAAGGCGGCUUACUGGACAGUGACUGACACUGAGGCUCGAAAGCGUGGGGAGCAAACAGGAUUAGAUACCCCAGUA
rnacentral:rRNA from 1 species